UAGUCCACGCUGUAAACGAUGUCGAUUUGGAGUUUGGGGGCAUGACCCUUGGGCUCCGGAGCUAACGCGUUAAAUCGACCGCCUGGGGAGUACGGCCGCAAGGUUAAAACUCAAAUGAAUUGACGGGGGCCCGCACAAGCGGUGGAGCAUGUGGUUUAAUUCGAUGCAACGCGAAGAACCUUACCUGGUCUUGACAUCCAUAGAAUCUUUCAGAGAUGAGAGAGUGCCUUCGGGAGCUAUGAGACAGGUGCUGCAUGGCUGUCGUCAGCUCGUGUUGUGAAAUGUUGGGUUAAGUCCCGCAACGAGCGCAACCCCUAUCCUUUGUUGCCAGCACGUAAUGGUGGGAACUCAAAGGAGACUGCCGUUGAUAAAGCGGAGGAAGGUGGGGACGACGUCAAGUCAUCAUGGCCCUUACGACCAGGGCUACACACGUGCUACAAUGGCGUAUACAAAGGGAUGCGAAGGUGCGAACUGGAGCGGACCUCACAAAGUACGUCUAAGUCCGGAUUGGAGUCUGCAACUCGACUCCAUGAAGUCGGAAUCGCUAGUAAUCGUGAAUCAGAAUGUCACGGUGAAUACGUUCCCGGGCCUUGUACACACCGCCCGUCACACCAUGGGAGUGGGUUGCUCCAGAAGUAGAUAGCUUAACCUUCGGGAGGGCGUUUACCACGGUGUGGUUCAUGACUGGGGUGAAGUCGUAACAAGGUAACCA
rnacentral:rRNA from 1 species